UACGGAGGAUCCGAGCGUUAUCCGGAUUUAUUGGGUUUAAAGGGAGCGUAGGUGGAUUGUUAAGUCAGUUGUGAAAGUUUGCGGCUCAACCGUAAAAUUGCAGUUGAAACUGACAGUCUUGAGUACAGUAGAGGUGGGCGGAAUUCGUGGUGUAGCGGUGAAAUGCUUAGAUAUCACGAAGAACUCCGAUUGCGAAGGCAGCUCACUGGACUGCAACUGACACUGAGGCUCGAAAGUGUGGGUAUCAAACAGG
rnacentral:rRNA from 1 species